AGAAUACUCCCUCCGUCCGAAAAUACUUGUCAUCAAAAUGGACAAAAAGGGAUGUAUCUAGAACUAAAAUACAUCUAGAUACAUCCCCUUUUAUUCAUUUUGAUGACAAGUAUUUUCGGACGGAGGGAGUACAUU
rnacentral:pre_miRNA from 1 species